AUGAAUAUUUUGUGUUUGAACUGUCGCGGAAUUGGGCAGCCGGAGACAGUUCGUGAAAUAUGUGUCCUCAUUAGGUUACAUCGCCCUGCCUUAGUUUUUCUCUCGGAGAAGAGAGCGCAGGAUUUGAAGCUUCGUUUGGGUUUCAGCAAUGCUUUCGGAGUUAAAGCAAGGGGGCUGAGUGGUGGCCUAGUUCUUUACUGGAAUAAUGAGUCUCUCGUGUCCCUAAAGUCUUUCAGCAAUUCGCACAUUGAUGUGUUUGUGCGGAAUGAGGAUACAGGAGAGAAGGAAUGGCGCUUCACCGGGUUCUACGGUGAGCCGGCGAGAUCGAAGAGGAAGAAUAGUUGGGAGUUAUUGCAAUACUUGAGAAGAGAAUAUGAUCACCCGUGGCUAUGUGCGGGGGAUUUCAAUGAGGUUCUUGAUGCAUCCGAACAGUUUGGCGGCAAUGACAGAGAAGAGUGGAAGAUGGAGGGCUUCAGGGAUACUGUAGAUUACUGUCGGUUUAUCGACCUUGGGUUCUCCGGUCUUCCGUAUACAUGGGACAACCGGCAACAAGGUAGAUGUAACGUGAAAGUACGGCUGGAUAGAGGAAUGGCUGAUGAUAAAUUCCUAGAGCUUUUUGACAACACGUUUGUACAACACAUUCAGACAUCUGAAUCGGACCACUGUGCGCUUCUCUUAAGGACCCAACGGUCUGUUUGGGACCAUGACUGCAGCCGCAACAAGCCUUUCCGUUUCGAGAAUGCAUGGACGAGGCAUGAGAGGUACGAGGAAGUGGUAGUUGAGAGCUGGCAACCACAAGCAAAUGACCUGGCCGGGGUAUAUGACACACUGAAUUCUGUUCGCCAAAAGUUGCAGAAAUGGAGUAGGGAGGAGUUUGGCUCUGUUCAAAAACAGCUCAAAGCUAUGAGACACCGGCUGGAGAGGGUGCGAGCAGCUUCUCUGCGGUCUGGACCAACUAGAGCCGAGAAAGACCUCUUGAAACGUAUAUCUGAAUUGUUGGCCAGGGAGGAGGCGUUGACAAAGCAACGCUCCAGGGUACUUGGCUAUCAGAAGGUGAUAGAAACACUGAAUUUUUCCAUGCUAAGAUGA
rnacentral:rRNA from 1 species